rnacentral:rRNA from 1 species
UACGUAGGGUGCGAGCGUUAAUCGGAAUUACUGGGCGUAAAGCGUGCGCAGGCGGUUGUGCAAGACAGAUGUGAAAUCCCCGGGCUUAACCUGGGAAUUGCAUUUGUGACUGCACGGCUAGAGUGUGUCAGAGGGGGGUAGAAUUCCACGUGUAGCAGUGAAAUGCGUAGAUAUGUGGAGGAAUACCGAUGGCGAAGGCAGCCCCCUGGGAUAACACUGACGCCUCAUGACACGAAAGCGUGGGGAGCAAACAGG